UACGUAGGUGGCAAGCGUUACUCGGAAUUACUGGGCGUAAAGGGCAGGUAGGCGGUUCGGCUAGUCUGUUGUGAAAGCUCCUUGCUUAACGGGGAGAGGCCAACAGAUACUGCCGAGCUUGAGUAUAGGAGAGGGUACUGGAAUUCCCGGUGUAGCGGUGAAAUGCGCAGAGAUCGGGAGGAACACCAAUGGCGAAAGCAGGUACCUGGACUAUUACUGACGCUCAGCUGCGACAGCUAGGGGAGCAAACAGG
rnacentral:rRNA from 1 species